CAAGACAUCGACAGAGACUCCAGGUGAAGCGAGAGAGAAGGCCAUGGAGGCGACGUUGGCGAGCUUCCUUGGUGGCCUGAGAUCGAUCGGUGAGAGGAGAGGGAGAGGCCGACUUCGGUGGUGACUGGAACGAGAGAGGGCCCAUGAGAGAUGGUGUCGUUCCCUCGUCGGAGCAGCAACGAACCACCAAUCGGGCGACGACCUUGGAUCGAGGAUGGAUGGAGUCUGAGCAUCAACAAGAGCCGAUGUUGGGUGUCAAGCGAAGGAAUCGAUCUGACAAAGAUAGAUCGAGGGAGAAGCCUUCUCCCCCAUGCGAAGCGGCUGGCGGUAGAGUCAAAGGCGAGGGGAAGAAGCGGAUUCCAAGAUUCGUGGAAAGCUCGACGGAUUGAAUCGGGUCACCGGCAGCGACCUCUGUAAUUGCAGAUGCAGAGGUUAGGGAAGAGUGAUCACCUAGCGAAUUAUGGAAGAUAAGUGACUAGUUUGCAAUACCUGUAAAGUUGGAGGUGUUAGACUGAACUGUUCUUCCUGGAAAUUAGGAUGAGUGGAUUGUAGUUCUAUGUAUGGUAGGGACUGAACUGCAAGGACCACAGUUGGGGAACUGAUUCUGAAGUUUGCCAUGUUGGGCAAAGAAAUGACAAUUCUGCCCCUUCAAGUUUCAGCAAGUUGCAAAGAAGUAAACGGAGAAUAACUCGGUCGUUUGAGGUCAGAACGACGCACCGUCUAAGGCUGUAGUUUCGUGGCAGUAAGCGGAAUCAUCUGGGAUAUAUUUUUGAGAUGUUGGCUCGCCAAUGAGGUGGGUUGGUUUAAGGGGGUAAUAACUUGUCGU
rnacentral:lncRNA from 1 species